rnacentral:rRNA from 1 species
GGAAAGGCUUACGGUGGAUACCUAGGCAUCCAGAGACGAGGAAGGGUGUAAUAAACGACAAAAUGCUUCUGGGAAUUGAAAAUAAGCGUAGAUAAAGAGAUUCCCAAAUAGGUUAACCUUUUGAACUGCUGCUGAAUCCAUGAGCAGGCAAGAGACAACCUGGCGAAUUGAAACAUCUUAGUAGCCAGAGGAAAAGAAAGCAAAAGCGAUUCUCAUAAUAGCGACGAGCGAAAUGGGAGCAGCCUGAACCGUGAAAACAGGGUUGUGGGAGAGCAAUACAAGCGUCAUGCUGCUAGGCGAAGCGAUGGAGUGCUGCACCCUAGAUGGAGAGAGUCCAAUAGCCAAAAGUAUCACUAGCUUAUGCUCUGAUCCGAGUAGCAUGGGACAUGUGGAAUCCCAUGUGAAUCAGCAAGGACCACUUUGCAAGGCUAAAUACUCCCGGGUCACCGAUAGUGAAGUAGUACCGUGAGGGAAGGGUGAAAAGAAACCUCAUUAGGGAGUGAAAUAGAACAUGAAACCGUAAGCUCCCAGGUAGUGAGAGGAGAAAAAGGCUCUAACCGCGUGCCUAUUGAAGAAUCAGCCGGCGACUUAUAGGCAGUGGCUUAGUUAAGGGAACCCACCGGAGCUAUAGCGAGAGUGAGUCUUCAUAGGGCAAUUGUCAUUGCUUAUGGACUCAAACUUGGGUGAUCUAUCCAUGACCAGGAUGUAGCUUGGGUGAAACUAAGUGGAGGUCUGAACCGACUGAUGUUGAAGAAUCAGUGGAUGAGUUGUGGUUAGGGGUGAAAUGCCACUCGAACCCAGAGCUAGCUGGUUCUCCCCGAAAUACGUUGAGGCGCAGUAAUUGACUGGACAUCUAGGGGUAAAGAACCAUUUCGGUGGGGGCUGCAAGAGCGGUACCAAAUCAAGGCAAACUUUGAAUACUAGAUAUGACCUCAAAAUAACAAGGUUCAAGGUCAGCCAGUGAGAUGAUGGGGGAUAAGCUUCAUCGUCGAGAGGAAAAUAUCCCGAAUCACCAGCUAAGGCCCCUAAAUGACCGCUCAGUGAUAAAGGAGGUAGGGGUGCAGAGACAGCCAGGAGGUUUGCCUAGAAGUAGCCACCCCUGAAAGAGUGCGUAAUAGCUCACUGAUCGAGUGCUCUUGUGCCGAAGAUGAACGGGGUUAAGUAAUCUGACGAAGCUACGGUAUGUAAAAAUGCAUCGGUAGGGGAAUGUUCCGCCUAGAGGGAAGCACCCGGGCGAGCAGUGGUAGACAAAGCGGAAGCGAGAAUGUUGGCUUGAGCAACACAAACAUUGGUGUGAAUCCAAUGCCCUGAAAGCCUAAGGGUUCCUCUGUAAGGUUCGUCCAUGGAGGGUGAGUCAGGGCCUAAGAUUAGGCCGAAAGGCAUAGUCGAUGGACAACAGGUGAAUAUUCCUAGACUACCCCUUGUUGGUCCAGAUGGAUGGAGGAGGCUAGGUUAGCCGAAAGAUGGUUAUUGGUUCAAGGACACAAGGUGCCCCUACUUUUUCAGGGUAAGAAGGGGUAGAGAAAAUGCCCCAACCCAAUGUUCGAGUACUAGGCGUUACGGCACUGAAGUAACCCAUGCCAUACUCCCAGGAAAAGUUCGAACGGCCUUUAACAAAAGGGUGCCUGUACUCAAAACCAACACAGGUGGGUAGGUAGAGAAUACCUAGAGGCGUGAGAAAACUUUCUCAAAGGAACUCAGCAAAAUAGCCCCGUAACUUUGAGAGAAAGGGUGCCUCCUCACAAAGAGGAUCGCAAUGACCAGGCCCGGGCAACUGUUUACCAAAAACACAGGUCUCAACAAAGUUGUAAGACCAUUUAUGGGGGCUGGAGCUUGCCCAGUGCCGGAAGGUCAAGGAAGUUGGUGACUUGAUGACAGGGGAGUCAGCGACCGAAGCCCCGGUGAACGGCGGCCGAACUAUAAUGGUCCUAAGGUAGCGAAAUUCCUUAUCGGGUCAUUUCCGACCCGUACAAAAGGGGUAACGAUCUGGGCACUGUCUUAGAGAGAGGCUCAAUGAAAUAGACAUGUCUGUGAAGAUGUGGAGUACCUGCACCUGGACAAAAAGACCCUAUGAAGCUUCACUGUUCCCUGGGAUUGGCUUUGGGCCUUUCCUGCACAGCUUAGGUGGAGGGUGAAGAAGGCCUCCUUCUGGGGGGGCCCGAUCCAUCAGUGAGAUACUACUCUAGAAGAGCUAGAAUUCUAACCUUGUGUCAGGACCUACAGGCCAAGGGACAGUCUCAGAUAGAACAGUUUCUAUGGGGCGUAGGCCUCCCAAAAGGUAACGGAGGCGUGCAAAGGUUUCCUCGGGCUAGACGGAGAUUGGCCUUCAAGUGCAAAGGCAGAAGGGAGCUUGACUGCAAGACCCACCCAUCAAGUAUGGAAGAAAGUCGGAGUGAUCCGACGGUGUCGAGUGGAAGGGCCAUCGCUAAAUGGAUAAAAGUUACUCAAGGGAUAAUAGGCUGAUCUUCCCCAAGAGCUCACAUCGAGGGGAAGGUUUGGCACCUUGAUGUCGGCUCUUCUCCACCUAGGGCUGUAGUAUGUUCCAAGGGUUGGGCUGUUCGCCCAUUAAAGCGGUACGUGAGCUGGGUUUAGAAUGUCACGAGACAGUUCGGUCCAUAUCUGGUAUGGGUGUUAGAGCAUUGAGAGGACCUUUCCUUAGUACGAGAGGACCGGGAAGGACGCACCUCUGGUGCACCAGUUAUAGUGCCCACGGUAAACGCUGGGUAGCCAAGUGCGAAGCGGAUAACUGCUGAAAGCAUCUAAGUAGUAAGCCCACCCCAAGAUGAGUGCUUUCCUAUUCCAACUUCCCUAAAGCUUCCGGUAGCACAGCCAAGUCAACGAUGGGUUUUCUACCCCUGUGGGGGUGGAGCGAUAAAAGUUUUGAGAAUUCAAGAGAAGGUCACGGAGAGACGAGCCGUUUAUCAUUACGAUAGAUGUCAAGUGGAAGGGCAGUGAUGUAUGCAGCUAAGGCAUCCUAACAGACCGGUAGACUUGAAC